rnacentral:snoRNA from 1 species
GUCUAAUGAUGAGGACUCAUAGGGCAGAUUCUGAGGUGAGCACUGAACUCAUCACUGAUAAUUGUUUGAUGCGAUCUGAAGACAC